GACGAACGCUGGCGGCGUGCCUAAUACAUGCAAGUAGAACGCUGAAGGCGGAGCUUGCUUUUCUGUAUGAGUUGCGAACGGGUGAGUAACGCGUAGGUAACCUGCCUGGUAGCGGGGGAUAACUAUUGGAAACGAUAGCUAAUACCGCAUAAUAGCAGAUGUCGCAUGAUAUCUGUUUAAAAGGUGCAAUUGCUUCACUACCAGAUGGACCUGCGUUGUAUUAGCUAGUUGGUGAGGUAACGGCUCACCAAGGCAACGAUACAUAGCCGACCUGGGAGGGUGGUCUGCCACACUGGGACUGAGACGCGGCCCAGACUCCUACGGGAGGCAGCAGUAGGGAAGCUUCGGCAAUGGACGGAAGGCUGACCGGAUAACGCCGCGUGAGUGAAGAAGGUUUUCGGAUCGUAAAGCUCUGUUGUAAGAGAAGAACGAGUGUGAGAGUGGAAAGUUCACACUGUGACGUUAUCUUACCAGAAAGGGACGGCUAACUACGUG
rnacentral:rRNA from 1 species